CCCGGGUUUCCUCAAGACAAAUAUUCAUCAUGAAGCUUGUGUUGGUUCUCGCCUUGGCGGCCUGUGCUGCUGCCAUGCCCUCUCGUCAGCCUGGCUUCGUCUACUCCUACGGCCAUCCAUUCGUCCACUCCUCCUACCCCGUCGUCAAUUCUGCAAAGGCCCAUACCCCCGCCAGCACCGUCUCCCUCGUCUACAACUACGGUCACAACCUCCCCCAAACCUACACCUACCCCACACCUUC